CCCUGACCUCGGAUCAGACGCGAAUACC
rnacentral:rRNA from 1 species